rnacentral:lncRNA from 1 species
CUUGUGUUUGUGGUGUGCUUUAUUGUUUCUCUUUAUUUCUUUAUUAUAUCCUUGCAUUCUUGCUUUAGGUAAUUAAUCUUGAACUAAAGUCCUUCUCCUCAUUCAUCAAGCUUUUAACAAAUACUUUUCAUAAGUAAUUAGUUAAGCUUAAAUUUUUUAAAACCCAAUUCACCCCCCCCUCUUGGGUUGCAUAGCUGGGC